AACUGAGGCAGAAAGAAGGAAAGCAGUCUGCUCAAGGCAGUGAGGAAAAUCUUCGGCAAGGUUGGCAACUUCCAAAAGAUCCUCUGAGAUUCUGCCAACUCUCUUGAUACCCACGGUGCUCUCCGACAGAAGACAGUGACAUGACAGGAAUGGUGACACAAGGCUCUUACUGUUACAUUCAAUAAUUGAUUCUUCUGGAUGGAUUGUGACUCCCUAAAGGUUGCAAAGAGAGAUGAUUAGUGGACACUGACAUCUAAAUCAGUAGUAAAAAGAAAAGCAGGAACCCUGGACAGUGGGGAAGGACUCCAGCAAUGCAGACAUCUGUGUACUUACACCAGUCCAAAAUCCCAAAGAGAAAAGGA